CUGUAAAGACAAGGCCUACAAUUGUAACGACCUAGCCAAGUAUUGUCAUAGUGAURAUGACGUCCGGAACAAAUGGUGCCGCAAGACCUGCAAUGCUUGUGAUCAAACAUGUGUAGAUAAAGUUAACAACUGUAAACAGCUUCAGUCCUUUUGCUAUCGCCCCGACAUCAAAAAUAUUAAGUGUCGUAGGACAUGUAAAGCAUGUUAACGAGACAAGCAAGGAAAGGAAACGAAGAAUAAUGCAAUGAUGUAAUAACUUGAUAGUAUGGUCGAAUAAACGUACAUAGGGUUGUCUUUGAGUGAUAUUUCGUCCUAAAGGGAAAGUUUCUUUGGUUUUGACAGGCUCCAAAUUCAUCCGAGUUGAAUAUUGUGCAGCGCGGAACCAAUUCCU